rnacentral:rRNA from 1 species
GUUGUAUGGUUAAGUGACGAAGCGUAUACGGUGGAUGCCUUGGCAGUUAGAGGCGAUGAAGGACGUGUAAGUCUGCGAAAAGCUGUGGUGAGCUGACAAAAAGCAUUUGAGCCACAGAUGUCCGAAUGGGGAAACCCACCUGUUUACAGGUAUCGUUACAUGAAUACAUAGUGUAACGAGGCGAACGAGGGGAACUGAAACAUCUAAGUACCCUUAGGAAAAGAAAUCAAUUGAGAUUCCCCUAGUAGCGGCGAGCGAACGGGGAGCAGCCCUUAAGCUGUUUAGUGUGUAGUGGAAUCCUUUGGGAAGAGGAGCGAUACAGGGUGAUAGCCCCGUACACGUAGCGUGCUUUACAGUGAAAUCGAGUAGGUCGGGACACGUGUUAUCUUGACUGAAUAUGGGGGGACCAUCCUCCAAGGCUAAAUACUCCUAACUGACCGAUAGUGAACCAGUACCGUGAGGGAAAGGCGAAAAGAACCCCUGUGAGGGGAGUGAAAUAGAACCUGAAACCGUAUACGUACAAGCAGUGGGAGC